rnacentral:lncRNA from 10 species
AGGCUCUCUGGGUUUCCUGGAGACCCGCGUUGAGCGGUGCUGCUCCGGAGUGGAAGCCGGGAGUUUAGCACCACGACUCUGGCGCUGCCCCUUCCUUGCUUGGUGAACUUGGGUGCCGUUGCACGUUGUUCCCACGACUCAUCUCUAAGAGGAAAAUACGAGUGAAACCUGUCUCACCUCCCUUACUGGAUACCAAGAGGCUUAUGCAAGAUCACGGAUGUGGGAGUGCUUUGUGAAUUUAAAUAGUGCAAUUGAUUUUCAUAUUAUGUAUUAAAGGAUCUAUAAUGACUAUUCUUUAAAAACAGAAGUGCAGGACCCCACAAGGACACCAAACACCACUUUUUGCUCCUUUUCAAGAUGGUGUGCCAGUUAAGUGCCCAUGAAAACUGCUUUGCCUGCUUCCUUUAAGGUUCUGCUGGGAGGGUAGUAAUCUGUGCUCUCAGAACCAGCCUCUUAGUGCCCUGUAUCCCUGCUGGGACCCUCAGGCAUCCUGGCUCUAGGCAAACACAAAGACACUCUGUACCCAGCACGGGAAGAGGUAGAUGGACCUCCAACUGGACACAGACUCCGGGAAUGAGGGAGGACCAACCCGACCAUGCUUCCCUCGGAAGGGGAGCCAGUAAUACUGGCCGGAGACAGGAGUGCUGAAUGCCACCUAUACCAACUCAUGGGCAUCCUGUUCAGGACAAAAGCCCCAAGGCAGGCAGGCCUAAGUCAAGGCUUGUGUUGUACCAACAAUAGUAUUUUGACCUGAUCUGACAAAAUUGGAAAGGAAAUAUUUCAUGGGACAUUCAUUAGUUCCCCAAAUUUGAAGGCAACAAAACUGUUCUGUUGAACUUGGGAG